GAUGAACGCUGGCGGCGUGCUUAACACAUGCAAGUCAAACGGAAAGGCCCAAGCUUGCUUGGGUACUCGAGUGGCGAACGGGUGAGUAACACGUGGGUGAUCUGCCCUGCACUUCGGGAUAAGCCUGGGAAACUGGGUCUAAUACCGGAUAGGACGAUGGUUUGGAUGCCAUUGUGGAAAGUUUUUUCGGUGUGGGAUGAGCUCGCGGCCUAUCAGCUUGUUGGUGGGGUAAUGGCCUACCAAGGCGUCGACGGGUAGCCGGCCUGAGAGGGUGUACGGCCACAUUGGGACUGAGAUACGGCCCAGACUCCUACGGGAGGCAGCAGUGGGGAAUAUUGCACAAUGGGCGCAAGCCUGAUGCAGCGACGCCGCGUGGGGGAUGACGGCCUUCGGGUUGUAAACUCCUUUCGCUAGGGACGAAGCGUUUUUGUGACGGUACCUGGAGAAGAAGCACCGGCUAACUACGUG
rnacentral:rRNA from 1 species